rnacentral:rRNA from 1 species
CCUACGUGUGGCAGCAGUGGGGAAUAUUGGGCAAUGGGCGCAAGCCUGCCCCAGCAACGCCGCGUGAAGGCAGAAGGCUUUCGGGUUGUAAACUUCUUUUCUGAGGGACGAAGAAAGUGACGGUACCUCAGGAAUAAGCCACGGCUAACUACGGGCCAGCAGCCGCGGUGAUACGUAGGUGGCAAGCGUUCUCCGUAUUUACUGGGUGUAAAGGGCUUGUAGGCGGGAAAGCAAGUCAGAUGUGAAAACUCAGGGCUCAACCCUGAGCCUGCAUGUGAAACUGUUUUUCUUGAGUGCCGGAGAUGCAUUCGGAAGUCCGGGUGUAGCGGUGAAAUGCAUAGAUAGACGGAGGAACACCAGUGGCGAAGGCGGAUUGCCGGACAGUAACUGACGCUGAGGCGCGAAAGCGUGGGGAGCAAACAGGAUUAGAUACCCUUGUAGUC